rnacentral:rRNA from 1 species
CCUACGGGAGGCAGCAGUGGGGAAUAUUGGACAAUGGGCGAAAGCCUGAUCCAGCAAUGCCGCGUGAGUGAUGAAGGCCUUAGGGUUGUAAAGCUCUUUUACCCGGGAUGAUAAUGACAGUACCGGGAGAAUAAGCUCCGGCUAACUCCGUGCCAGCAGCCGCGGUAAUACGGAGGGAGCUAGCGUUGUUCGGAAUUACUGGGCGUAAAGCGCACGUAGGCGGUUUUUCAAGUCAGAGGUGAAAGCCCGGGGCUCAACUCCGGAAUUGCCUUUGAAACUGGAUGACUGGAAUCUUGGAGAGGCGAGUGGAAUUCCGAGUGUAGAGGUGAAAUUCGUAGAUAUUCGGAAGAACACCAGUGGCGAAGGCGACUCGCUGGACAAGUAUUGACGCUGAGGUGCGAAAGCGUGGGGAGCAAACAGGAUUAGAUACCCCUGUAGUC